UCCUUUCCUUCGCUCUAUAUAUUGCUUCUUCACUUCCUCCGGAUUCGGAGUGAGAGUGAUCGAUCCUUCGUCGUUAGUCUUCGCGAUGGCAGCGGCGGUGGCGUCUUCCCGCUUUGUGAAGGAGGUGCUUCCUCCGCCCCUCAACUCGUCCUCCGAACCACCAGCUCUCUUCGAUGGCACCACCAGGUUGUAUAUUUCAUACACCUGCCCAUUUGCGCAACGCACCUGGAUAGUUAGGAAUUUCAAGGGAUUGCAGGAGAAGAUCAAAUUGGUUGGAAUCGAUCUGCAAAAUAGGCCAGACUGGUACAAGGAGAAGGUUUAUCCUGGGAAUAAGGUGCCCUCUUUGGAGCAUGACAAUGAGGUGAAAGGAGAGAGUCUGGAUCUGAUUAAAUUUAUCGAUGAAACAUUUGAGGGCCCUAAGUUACUGCCUGAUGAUCCCGCAAAGAGGCAGUUUGCAGAGGAGCUGUUUUCAUACAGUGAUAACUUUAACAUGCUCAAUUUCAAGUCAUUACCUUCUCCAGGAGAUGUUGGUGACGAAGUCGUUGCCGCCUAUGACAAGAUCGAAGAAGCCCUUUCGAAGUUUGAUGAUGGACCAUUUUUCCUUGGCCAAUUUAGUUUGGUUGACAUUGCCUAUGCCCCAUUUAUCGAAAGAUUCCAGUACUCCUUAGCAGAGUUGAAGAAUUACGACGUUACCAAAGGCAGGCCAAAAUUGGCAUUAUGGAUUGAGGUUGUUCCUUGCACCUAGUGAAAAUUACAUUGAUUUGGAAUAGAACGAGAUCGAUGGCUACACAUAUAUUAACUUCCUACUUAUGUUUGUUCUGAUAAAAAUUACACUGAAUAGGAAUUGAACAAGAUCGAUGCCUACACAUGUACUCGACAAGAUCCUAAAGAGCUACUGGCUGGAACUAAGAAGCGAUUAGGGAUUGCAUGAAGAUCUCUCCAUACUAGUUUUCCAGGUUAUGGUCUCUGCUGUGAUAUGAUCUUAAAUAAAGAUAUCGCGACCUUUCCUCUCCGUAUAAAACAUGUUCCCUUGAGUUGAAAUAAUCUAUAUUUGUGUAUAUAUAGUAUACUUAAUGUUGCCGUUUCUGUUGUUUCCUAUUGUUAUGGGGUAUGUCCCUCAUCAUCUAUUCUUAUUAUGGUCGGUCCCAUAAUAAAAUACAAGUAAAUAAAUUAUGGAGAAUAUUUUAUCCUA